CACUGUCCUGUCUCCUCUGCUGUGUUUCCGUUUCUGGCAUUUCCAGAGCACCUCCCACGAGCCAGGCGGUGUGCUCGGCUCUGGGGAUGCAGGCCCGGCUUCCUGGACCCUUCCCACUCUGCUCCCGGGCCCCGGCAGCUGCAGCCCAGCCCCUCCCUCCCAGCCCCUCUUCCGUUUCCUCACCCUGGGAUUCCUGGAUCCCGACAGAAUCUAAAAAGGCUCCCCUUUAAACAGACCAUUUGGACUGAGAAACCCUGAGCUGACGUAUCUGAUCUGUCUCUUCCCAUUUCGCCCCACGAGAUAAGACGGAUUCACAUUCCUUUUGUACAGUCUCGGGCUUCUUCGUCUUUCCUCCCCACUCCCCGCAGGCCUUGGGGGUCUGAGCGCAGCUCCCCCUUCACGCUUGUCCAGGGCUGUAUUUUCAUCUCCUAGGUCUCUGCUCCACUGGUGUGUGGAACCCACAGCGUCGCCGGACGCACUCUGCUGGUAAGGACGGAAACUGGUACAGCCCCCAAGGAAUGCCAUUUGGCAAUAUCUAUCCAAGUUAGAAAUGCGUGUACCUUCUGGCCCAGUAACGUCACUUCUGGGAAUUUCUCUUAAAGAUACACUUGCACACGUGCAAAAUGAUGUGCUGGGAAAGAUCUUGAGAAGAGAUGGUUAGGUGAAAACACACAUGCAAAGGUGACAACAGGCCUGUGUUAUGCUGCCUUUGGAUUACAAAGGAAGAAACUAAGAUUUCCUUGCAUUUACAUACCUACCGGACCUGAGAAAGGACACCCAGAAUCAGAAACCAGAAAAGGAAGAAGAGGGGGAGCCGGGUAGAAGAGGGAUGGGGGAGAUGUCUCACUGAAUACAGUUUUACGUGUUUGUAUUUCUAAUGAUGUGAACGCACUGCACACUAAAAUUCAGGGAAGGUACUCUUAAAUGUGAGUUUAUCC